rnacentral:rRNA from 1 species
UACGUAGGGGGCAAGCGUUGCCCGGAUUUAUUGGGCGUAAAGAGCUCGUGGGUGGUUUGGUAAGUCGGAUGUGAAAUCUCCAGGCUCAACCUGGAGGGGUCAUUCGAUACUGCCAUGACUAGAGGUCGGUAGGGGAGUGUGGAAUUCCUGGUGGAGCGGUGAAAUGCGCAGAUAUCAGGAGGAACACCCGUAGCGAAGGCGGCACUCUGGGCCGAUUCUGACACUGAGGAGCGAAAGCGUGGGGAGCGAACAGG